rnacentral:rRNA from 1 species
UACGUAGGUGGCAAGCGUUGUCCGGAUUUAUUGGGCGUAAAGAGCGUGUAGGCGGUUUGGUAGGUCCGCUGUGAAAACUCGAGGCUCAACCUCGAGACGCCGGUGGAAACCAUCAGACUAGAGUCCGGAAGAGGAGAGUGGAAUUCCUGGUGUAGCGGUGAAAUGCGCAGAUAUCAGGAAGAACACCCGUGGCUAAGGCGGCUCUCUAGUACGGUACUGACGCUGAGACGCGAAAGCGUGGGGAGCGAACAGG